rnacentral:rRNA from 1 species
GUAGUUAGCCGGGGCUUCCUCCUUGGCUACCGUCACUUUCUUCGUCACCAAGGACAGAGGUUUACAACCCGAAAGCCUUCUUCCCUCACGCGGCGUUGCUGGGUCAGGCUUGCGCCCAUUGCCCAAUAUUCCCCACUGCUGCCUCCCGUAGGAGUCUGGACCGUGUCUCAGUUCCAGUGUGGCCGAUCAGCCUCUCAGCUCGGCUACCCAUCGUUGGCUAGGUGGGCCGUUACCCCGCUACUACCUAAUGGGACGCGAACCCCUCCUUUAGCGGAUUUCUCCUUUGACCUCUGUGUCAUGCGGCACUGUGGUCUUAUGCGGUAUUAGCACUUGUUUCCAGGUGUUAUCCCCCUCAAAAGGGCAGGUUGUUCACGCGUUACUCACCCGUUCGCCACUAGCUAUAAAUCCGAAAACCUAUAGCCCGUUCGACUUGCAUGUGUUAGGCACGCCGCCAGCGUUCGUCCUGAACCAAGAUCAAAUUCUGA